ensembl:miRNA gga-mir-6697 gga-mir-6697
UUUUCUUUGUGUCAGCUGUUCCAAGAACAGAUGACAUCAGCGUGACCACUUCUGAAGCUGAUGUCCUUUGGCCUAGGAGUCACUGUUGCAAACAUUGUGCUGAUACUUGA